rnacentral:rRNA from 1 species
UGGGGAAUCUUGCGCAAUGGGCGAAAGCCUGACGCAGCGACGCCGCGUGGAGGAUGAAGGUCUUCGGAUUGUAAACUUCUGUUAAGUGGGAGGAAAUGCCGAUUAAUAAUACGAAUCGGAGCUGACUGUACCAUUAGAGAAAGCACCGGCUAAACUCGUGCCAGCAGCCGCGGUAAUACGAGUGGUGCAAGCGUUAUUCGGAAUCAUUGGGCGUAAAGGGUGUGUAGACGGCAUAUUAAGUCAACUGUUAAAUUCUCCGGCCUAACCGGAGGCUCAUAGUAGAUACUGGUGUGCUAGAGGGUGAAAGAGAGAAGUGGAAUUCUCGGAGUAGCGGUAAAAUGCGUAGAUCUCGAGAGGAACACCAAUGGCGAAAGCAGCUUCUUGGUUCAUUUCUGACGUUGAAACACGAAAGCGUGGGGAGCAAACAGGAUUAGAUACCCGUGUAGUCC